rnacentral:rRNA from 1 species
UACGAAGGGGGCUAGCGUUGUUCGGAAUCACUGGGCGUAAAGGGCGCGUAGGCGGCUUUAUAAGUCGGGGGUGAAAGCCUGUGGCUCAACCACAGAAUUGCCUUCGAUACUGUAGAGCUUGAGACCGGAAGAGGUAAGUGGAACUGCGAGUGUAGAGGUGAAAUUCGUAGAUAUUCGCAAGAACACCAGUGGCGAAGGCGGCUCACUGGCCCGAUACUGACGCUGAGGUGCGAAAGCGUGGGGAGCAAACAGGG